GAAAAGCAACAAGAAAGGUGAAUUAUAUUGAGUGUUGGAAGAAGAGUCACUAUAAAGAAGGUCGUGGAUGGUGCAACAUGCGAGCACAACAAGAUUGGGUAAGUAAAAAGUUUAUAUAUUAUUAUGGUAUUAAAAGUGGAUUACCUAUAUUGCUAUUUAAAAAUACAUUAAAUAUAUCGAAAGUAGAAUGCUAUGCUAGGUAUGAUGAAAUUUUAGACUUAUUGUUCUUAUUAAUUAUAGUUGGACAGGUUGGUUGUCUUCUUUAUAGUCGUUAUGCUGCCGAUUUUUAGUUAAAAAAAACUAAUGUAUGUUUAUUGUUUUUUUUGUUGUAGGUUAAAAUUGAAAAUGAGUAUAAGAAAAUGUUGGACGAGGUUGGUGGUGAUGAAUCAAAAGUCAAACAGCUAGAAUGCUUGGCUCGUGUACUUGGAGAAAGGAGAGGUCAUACACGGUGUGUUGGUUGAAAAGUGAAAAAUGUAGCACCUUAUAAUAUCCCGGCUCCUUCAACAAAUAAUGUAGACCUCAAUGC
rnacentral:lncRNA from 1 species